rnacentral:rRNA from 1 species
UACGAAGGGAGCUAGCGUUGUUCGGAAUCACUGGGCGUAAAGCGCACGUAGGCGGAUGUGUACAGUCAGGGGUGAAAUCCCGGAGCUCAACUUCGGAACUGCCUCUGAUACAGCACGGUCUUGAGUCCGAUAGAGGUGGGUGGAAAUUCCUAGUGUAGAGGUGAAAUUCGUAGAUAUUAGGAAGAACGACCGGUGGCGAAGGCGGGUCUCUGGGCCGAUACUGGACGGCUGAAGGAGCGGAAAGCCGGUGGGGGAGCGAAACAGG